AGUGAACGCUGGCGGUAGGCCUAACACAUGCAAGUCGAACGGCAGCACAGUAAGAGCUUGCUCUUACGGGUGGCGAGUGGCGGACGGGUGAGGAAUACAUCGGAAUCUACUUUUUCGUGGGGGAUAACGUAGGGAAACUUACGCUAAUACCGCAUACGACCUACGGGUGAAAGCAGGGGAUCUUCGGACCUUGCGCGAUUGAAUGAGCCGAUGUCGGAUUAGCUAGUUGGCGGGGUAAAGGCCCACCAAGGCGACGAUCCGUAGCUGGUCUGAGAGGAUAAUCAGCCACACUGGAACUGAGACACGGUCCAGACUCCUACGGGAGGCAGCAGUGGGGAAUAUUGGACAAAGGGCGCAAGCCUGAUCCAGCCAUACCGCGUGGGUGAAGAAGGCCUUCGGGUUGUAAAGCCCUUUUGUUGGGAAAGAAAAGCAGCAGGUUAAUACCCCGCUGUUCUGACGGUACCCAAAGAAUAAGCACCGGCUAACUUCGUG
rnacentral:rRNA from 1 species